rnacentral:rRNA from 1 species
GAUGAACGCUGGCGGCGUGCCUAAUACAUGCAAGUCGAGCGAACAGACGAGGAGCUUGCUCCUCUGACGUUAGCGGCGGACGGGUGAGUAACACGUGGAUAACCUACCUAUAAGACUGGGAUAACUUCGGGAAACCGGAGCUAAUACCGGAGAAUAUAUUGAACCGCAUGGUUCAAUAGUGAAAGACGGAUUUGCUGUCACUUAUAGAUGGAUCCGCGCCGCAUUAGCUAGUUGGUAAGGUAACGGCUUACCAAGGCAACGAUGCGUAGCCGACCUGAGAGGGUGAUCGGCCACACUGGAACUGAGACACGGUCCAGACUCCUACGGGAGGCAGCAGUAGGGAAUCUUCCGCAAUGGGCGAAAGCUUGACGGAGCAACGCCGCGUGAGUGAUGAAGGUCUUCGGAUCGUAAAACUCUGUUAUUAGGGAAGAACAAAUGUGUAAGUAACUAUGCACGUCUUGACGGUACCUAAUCAGAAAGCCACGGCUAACUACGUG